rnacentral:rRNA from 1 species
GGCAGCUUACACAUGCAGUCGAGGGGUAUAUGUCUUCGGAUAUAGAGACCGGCGCACGGGUGCGUAACGCGUAUGCAAUCUACCUUUCACAGAGGGAUAGCCCAGAGAAAUUUGGAUUAAUAGCUCAUAGUAUUAUAGAGUGGCAUCACUUUAUAAUUAAAGUCACAACGGUGAAAGAUGAGCAUGCGUCCCAUUAGCUAGUUGGUAAGGUAACGGCUUACCAAGGCAACGAUGGGUAGGGGUCCUGAGAGGGAGAUCCCCCACACUGGUACUGAGACACGGACCAGACUCCUACGGGAGGCAGCAGUGAGGAAUAUUGGUCAAUGGACGCAAGUCUGAACCAGCCAUGCCGCGUGCAGGAUGACGGUCCUAUGGAUUGUGAACUGCUUUUGUACGAGAAGAAACAACAUUACGUGUAAUGUCUUGACGGUAUCGUAAGAAUAAGGAUCGGCUAACUCCGUGCCAGCAGCCGCGGUAAUACGGAGGAUCCAAGCGUUAUCCGGAAUCAUUGGGUUUAAAGGGUCCGUAGGCGGUUUAGUAAGUCAGUGGUGAAAGCCCAUCGCUCAACGGUGGAACGGCCAUUGAUACUGCUGAACUUGAAUUAUUAGGAAGUAACUAGAAUAUGUAGUGUAGCGGUGAAAUGCUUAGAGAUUACAUGGAAUACCAAUUGCGAAGGCAGGUUACUACUAAUGGAUUGACGCUGAUGGACGAAAGCGUGGGUAGCGAACAGGAUUAGAUACCCUGGUAGUCCACGCCGUAAACGAUGGAUACUAGCUGUUGGGCGCAAGUUCAGUGGCUAAGCGAAAGUGAUAAGUAUCCCACCUGGGGGAGUACGUUCGCAGAUGAAACUCAAAGGAAUUGACGGGGCCGCACAGCGGUGGAGCAUGUGGUUUAAUUCGAUGAUACGCGGA